UACGUAGGGGGCUAGCGUUGUCCGGAAUCAUUGGGCGUAAAGAGCGUGUAGGCGGUCCGGUAAGUCCGCUGUGAAAGUCGGGGGCUCAACCCUCGAAUGCCGGUGGAUACUGUCGGGCUAGAGUGCGGAAGAGGCGAGUGGAAUUCCUGGUGUAGCGGUGAAAUGCGCAGAUAUCAGGAAGAACACCCGUGGCGAAGGCGGCUCUCUGGUACGUGACUGACGCUGAGACGCGAAAGCGUGGGGAGCGAACAGG
rnacentral:rRNA from 1 species